AGUAGAUGACAUGGUUUUCAGGUGGCUAAAAUCUAAACAUAAUCUAGGGAUAGAAUCGUAACUCUUUUAGUUAGGAAUGAUUUAAUCGGCAAAUUUAAUAGACUAGAUGUCGUGUGUAUGUCAUAUUGUGUAAUUUGCAUGAUUGUUAUGGCUUUGUUCAAUAUAUAUCUUGGAGAAGAGGUUUUGUUUUGUUUUUAUGGAUAGAAAAGGUGAGGUGUAUGGGGAGGUUCUGAUGCAAAGGUCCUGUUCCCCAAUUGGUUCUUGGUUUGUCAGUAAAGAAGGCUGGGAGCCAAUUGCUGGGGAGACAGUACAGGCGGGACUUCCGGGUCCCAGAGGGAAAAGGAGAGGCAGGGAAGGAGAGUUUUACCACACUUGGGAACGAGAAGAACACAGCAACCAUAUAAGGCCUGAGGUGGAGGGGUAGCUAGGACCUGUGGCCUUUGUUACAGAUGGCUGGCCCAGUAUGUUUGGCAGGGGCUAGGUGGGACUAGCCACUAAGUUUAGAGCAGGUGAGGAGAUGGAGAUAACAAAUUUUUCAGGCAGGAGAUAGUAACACCCAGCAAUUGUGCUCAGGAGGCAGGUUGUAAAGUAACAAACUGUGUAUGUGUGUCUUCUAUCCUUGGAUUCAAGGGUCUAGGGAGUGGGCUGAUAGCACAGUCACCUCCCAGAGACAAAGGUGGGAAGAACCAAAGGAAAUCGGUGAGGGACACAGGCAAAGGUGGUAGCAUUUAAAACUACACGCAACAUAGGUCAGUCACUCUGAUGUCAGGAAUGGAUAUACUCAACCCAUAGCUGACACAGAGUUGCCCCUCACAGAGAGGUGCACAGGGCUGGAAGAAGUACAUGUCCUGUACGGAUAGGCCCCACAUCACACACUAAAAGAUCAUCAUCCCUUCUAUGGAACCUAGGACCUCAAUUCCCAGGAACAAGCAAAUCAUCCCUGAAGUGGAUUAGCCAAGAAACAGGCUGACUGCUGGGCCACCAUGCUGGCUCCCUCUGGACUUCCAUUUCGGGCAUGCUUCCACACGGCCACGUGAUGAGCAGGAGCCCAGGAUUUAGCAGAUACAAAGGACUGGAGCACCUGGAAUCACCUGAUUUAAACUCUGUGGCCUUUGAAGCUAACCUAAGACUGACAGGGGCCCAGGAUGAAGUUGGAACAAAUCCUUCCCAACACUCUUGAUCAGCUUGUUAGCUGCAGAAGGCCAGGCCACAGAAGAAAUUUGCCUUCUAGAAAGAGCUACAAGAGUAUCACUGUGUGCCAACAGCUCACAGAAGACGACAGGCUCCGCCCCACACCCACCUGCAUUUAACCAUCCCUUGAGCCAGAUUGCCUGAUGGUCUUUCAGCAGAGAGCCUGGUCACCGCUGGAGUUUCCUCCUGCCUGCAGGGGGCACUGUGGUACCCAUGAUCCCUGAUUCUCUAACUCCCUUCCACAGAGGGAAUUGAUACACGCUCUUAUUUGGCUGGAACUAACAUUAAAAUGUUGUUGGUUCAAUGGCUGAGCUCCAGACAAUUGGCUACAACUCAGUUCCUGUGCUUUUUUGUAGCUCACCGCCACCUGGCUCUACCUAGAUUCUACACCCGAUGACUGUGUCAGCAAACCUCUGUGGGCUCAAGAACACUCUCGUUCCUGUGGGAGAUGUAUACAUGCCACCCUGGGUCUAUGGUUGUAGAAUAGCAGUAUCUAUGAUGCCCGGGUGCUUUCUAGAAAGGCAGACUCAAUCUACAUUGUGUGGAACAUUGAACCUGUUGACUUUGGGAAGCAAUUCAGGAAGGGAGGUCCUCGUGCCUGUUUCCUUGAGAUACUGAUGGUUCUCUACACAGCAAAGGCAAACAUCCUUGAUUGGGACCCAAUGGCAUUUGACUGGCACUUGAGCUGUGUGUGAGACCUGAAGAGCUUUAAAGAACUGAACUGAAAGAUGCCCUAGGGGUCUCCUUGUCAAGCACAUCUUCAUGAGGUCGGCUUCUUGCUCCACUGUGGAUUCCUACUGAUCACCGGAGGCCCCACAACAACAGUACCACCCACCACCCAGAACCUCCAAAACUGUGAGUCACAAGAGACCUUCUGUCCUCUUACGUUGACCUUAGGUGUUUCGUUAUAGCAACAGAAACCUGACUAGCCCACUUGUUAUCUUUUUCUACUCGAGUAUUUGUUUCCAGGCGGAUGCUCACAGACAUGUCUGGAAGGAAGCAGACAUUUGCUCUGUCUGGAUGUAUGACUCUUUAUGUGCCUUAGCGCCCAUCUUACGUUAAGUCAGUAUGUUAGCGAUGCUACUCUUGAGUAAAAGUGAGAAAGCUGAGACUUAGCGAGCCAAGGGUAAACCCAACAUGACACUAGCUGUCAGCGAAUGUGGGUUCCAACCUCAUGAUGUACACACAGAGAUAACGUGUGGGAUGUCGUAGAUCACCAUCGAGUCUCUUUACAGUUAAAGAACCUGAGAGAGAAAGGAUAUAUAUCUACUCCAAGGAAUAGAGUCCAUCUGAUCCUAAUGCCUCAUUGGACAUUUUCCUUUGGCAAAAGCGAAUCUCGGAACCAUCUAUAAGAUGAAAAUCUACCUGACAUUUAAUAUCUUUCUGAGUAUAUCCAAGACUGCAUCCUGAGUGCAUCAAAAUGUGCAAAUUGUGGCUUGGGGAAUGAGGAAACCAGGGUGCGAUGGAGUGAGCGCCUGGUGUUUUCAUGAAUAUGAAGAGUCAAGAAGAGUCGAUAGAAAGUCUGCUUUGGGGGCAGAGGGAGGCAUGGCCUCACAAAGGCCUUCUUUCUUACCAUGGGUGUCGAGCUGCCUGCUCACAGGUGUAUCUUUUAUUUGGGUCUUUCUCCAUCAGAUUCCGAAUGAAGUCUUUUGCUGUUCGAAAAGAAAGCAGGGGAAAACGGAAUCACUUUGAGGUUUGAAAUACGAUGACUGGACACCCUUGUGUUUUAAGCUUGUGUUCCAUUAAAAAUACGAGAUGGGCUUUUUACUAUCACUCUUGUACCUUGAACACAAAAGUCACUCAGAUAAAAGCAGAGCCCCGGCUGGCACUCCACGGGGGACCCAGUGAACCAGGGGGUGGCAGAGCCGGGCUGGGACCCUGACUUCUGGUUCUUUUUUUUUUUUUUCUUCUUCUUUUUUCUUUUUUUCAGAGCUGGGGACGGAACCCAGGGCCUUGCGCUCGCUAGGCAAGCGCUCUACCGCUGAGCUAAAUCUCCAACCCCCUGACUUCUGGUUCUAAGUUCUUUUCUGUUAGCUACUAAGGGUGCCUUUGGUUUAGAGAAUAAAGGAAGUAAUCUUCAUAACUGCAUGCCUCUCCCGUUCACCACUGCCUUAGAGAGACGCUUUGGGGACAUCCCCUGAAUGUGUGAUAGACAUCACUGGUUCCAGUAAGCUCACUGAGGAGCUGUAAAGCCACCAGGUCAUGGUACUAUGUGUUGGGAACACCCAGAGGAGCAUCUGCAUUACACUUUGAGCUGUUACCCCAGAGAGUUAGAAGUGAGAGAGCAACAGCUAGAUGUAUC